rnacentral:misc_RNA from 1 species
UUAUUAAUUAUAAUAAGACUACAUUUGUUACAAAUUGUUUAGUAUAAAAGUGGAUGCAAGCAUCCAACAGUGCACAGGUGUUAUGGAUAAGAAGGUUAGUGCCGGGAUUAUGGGCCCCGGCAACACAUUUUCAUUAAUGAUCCUUCCGCAGGUUCACCUACGGAAA